AAGAAAUUAUACGCAACAUAAGAAUCGUAUUUGGAUAUAUGUACAUAAAUGUAAUACGUAAUUAAUUUUGCACGCUGUAAAGCAUGUACAUACAUAUAACAGACGAAGAAAAGCAAAUAUGAGAGAACGCCUAGUACUUCUAAACUAAUCUGUGGCGGCGGCAGUCAGUGCCGGUAGUCAAAUAUCAUAAAAUGUGGAAUUUGCUUCUCACUUGGAAUGACAGUGAAGCUGUAAAGCUGUAAAGUUUGAGGUCGGGGAGUACUGUGGGCUAGCCGGACUGUUGGCGCUCAUAGGUGACAUUGGAGACUCGCUGGAGCAAUAAACGGGACUCGAAGGCGAGGAUGAGUAAAAACUAGGGCUAUGCGGAGAGUAAACCACAUUUGAGUGAGAAGCGGUGGAAUAAUUGGGGCUGGCUGGACUACUAGAGUAUUGCGGACUACUGGGUUUUAUCAAAGGAGAAGGCCAGAACCAAUUCAGCGGUGGAAGAACUUAUUAUGUUUAACGUCUUUGGAGAUCGCACGAAACUCGAAAAUAAUCAGAUUUUUUGUAAUCUUACUGUGUAUUUUUAAAAUAUGUAUAAACUAAUUGUAAAACAUAUACGAGUAUUAUACUUUUUUCCUUAUUCCUAAUAAAACUACAAAUAUUGGCUUCCGAUGAAGUGUG